AACCUUCACAGGCUGGCAUGGCCCCAGGCUGGGCUGGGCAGCUACCUCUUUGAAAGGCUCACCCUUAUCCAUGACUAGAAGG
rnacentral:pre_miRNA from 1 species